rnacentral:rRNA from 1 species
GAUGAACGCUAGCGGCAGGCCUAAUACAUGCAAGUCGAACGGUGUCUUCGGACAUAGUGGCGCACGGGUGCGUAACACGUAUGCAACCUACCUUACAUUGGGGGAUAGCCUUUCGAAAGGGAGAUUAAUACCGCAUAAGACAGUAGCUGGGCAUCCAGCAGCUGUUAAAGAUUUAUCGAUGUAAGCUGGGCAUGCGUCCAAUUAGCUAGGUGGUGAGAUAACGGCUCACCAAGGCAAUGAUUGGUAGGGGAACUGAGAGGUCAAUCCGCCACGAUGGCACUGAGAUACGGGCCAGACUCCUACGGGAGGCAGCAGUAGGGAAUAUUGGGCAAUGGACGCAAGUCUGACCCAGCCAUGCCGCGGGCAGGAUGAAGGCGUUAUGCUUUGUAAACUGCUUUUAUACAGGAAGAAACGACUCUUGCGAGAGGCAUUGACGGUACUGUAUGAAUAAGCACCGGCUAACUCCGUGCCAGCCGCCGCAGUAAAAC